rnacentral:rRNA from 1 species
UACGUAGGUGACCAGCGUUGUCCGGAUUACUGGGCGUAAAGAGCGCGCAGGCGGUCGUUCAAGUCGAGUGUGAAAGCCCCCGGCUCAACUGGGGAGGGUCACUCGAUACUGAUCGACUUGAAGGCAGGAGAGGGAAGCGGAAUUCCCGGUGUAGUGGUGAAAUGCGUAGAUAUCGGAAGGAACACCAGUGGCGAAAGCGGCUUCCUGGUCCAGCAUCGACGUUCAGGCACGAAAGCGUGGGGAGCGAACAGG